UUAAGGUUAACAUUCUUGAUCUUGAAUUUAAAAGUCCUAUACUCAAAUUUUAAAGAGUAUUCAAUUUCCACCAUCUAUUUUGACAUAAUUUAUUUACUAAGUAAACGAUAUUGAAAAAAACUAAAAUUUUAUUCCAUUUCAUAUACCCUAAAUCAUAUUUAACGGUAUGGAUCGUUGAUUUGAACGCCCUAAGAUCGAAAACAACACUAUAGUACCGGAGCUCCGGUACUAUAGAUAAUAUAGUAACCUCUAUAUAUAUAUAUAUAUAUAUAUAUAUAUUGCAGGACUACUGUACUCUCAGGAGUACAGAGGUUUCCGUGCUCAUGAUUCGUUUUUUAUAAUUGAAUUUUCGAUUCGACGAUCGACUCCGUUAGACUUGAUUUAGCCUAUUUGAAAUUUCUAGAAAAUAUUUUUUGCAGCUUUUCGAUAUUGUUUAUCUAGUAAUCGAAAUGGUUCAAAAUCAAUAAUUUUUAAUAGUUGAUGUCUGCCGUUUUUCAGUUUAACGGUAUAAAAAUAUUCUAAUCAAAUAAAAAUUUGAUAUAAAUUUUUUUAUCUUAUCCACAACAAAAUUACUAUUUGUAAUAGAAAAUUUUAAUACUAUAUCACCACUUUUUAUAGAAUUUUUAUUUUCAGCCGUUAAAAAUUAUUAAUUUUGAAUUCUUUCAAUUGUUAGGUAAUGAUAUUGAAAAAUCGCAAAAAAUAAUUUCUAAAAACUUGAAAUGUGCUAGACCAAGUCUAACAAGUCUAACAGAACUGAUAGUCAAUUCGAAAAUUCUAUCAUCGAAAAUAGCUCAAAAGUACAGAGUCUUCCGUACUUCUGAGAGCACAACAGUUUUGCGCUAUCUCUCUCUCUCUAUAUAUAUAUAUAUAAUAUAGAGGAGCAAUGCUGAUACACAUUUAGGGCUUGUUUGGUUUAUCCAUUUUGGGUAUAGAAUGGGAAUCGAUUUGAUCAAAUCCGGUUAAUUUUAUUUGGUUCGCAUGAAUCGGUUUGGGAUUCCUAUUCCGGACUGGAAUGGGAAUGGCCCAUUAGCCUUCAAGUUGAUUCCGGUCUUUUAGCCCGGAUUGAGAUUUCAUUCCGGAAGCCCACUAAGUUCUCGAAGCUCAUGUGACCAACUCACCCUCCUUCUCUUCACCCUUUCUCAUCAAAAAAAAAAAAAAAAAUCUAUCCUCUCUCAAAACUCUAUCCCUAACCCACAUCAAUAAAAGUUUUUAAAAAUAAAUUUGAUAUUUUUUUUGAAAAACUUAUUAGAGAAUAGUAUUAUAUUUUUUAUAAAUUUUAAAUAAUAUAAAUUUAUAUUUGAGAGUAAAAUUAGUAUUAUAGUAUCCUAUAAUUUUUUUAGUUUAUACGAACCAAACAAUGAAAUGCGAAUAACUUAUUCCAAUUCGCAAUCCACAAAUAAACCAAACAUCUUGGGGGAGUGAGCCAUUCCAAUUACCAUUCAAAUUCAUUAUCAUUCUAUUAUCCAUUUCAAUUCCACCCUUGAAACAAACAAGCCCUUACAAUCAUUUUAUGAUAAUUAUUAUAAUAAACUCAUAGCAAUGUCCAUCCAAAAAUUAAAA
rnacentral:lncRNA from 1 species